rnacentral:rRNA from 1 species
GUACACACCGCCCGUCGCUAUUACCGAUUGAGUGUUAGGGUGAACCUUCUCGAUAGAGCAAUCUAAAAAUUAAGUAAACCUUGACACUYAGAGGAAAUAAAAGYCGUAACAAGGUUUCCGUAGGUGAACCUGCAGAAGGAUCA